rnacentral:lncRNA from 1 species
GCCGCAAAGGACGAUCCUGCGCCACCAAAGCGCUACAACUGCUGCCAUGAUCCCGACGAGCAGCGCUCGCUUCCUGUUCAACGCAACAAUCAGGUCGACUUGGUCUCAUUAACGUCAAAGUUCCAGAUAACAGAGGAUCCCAUCAGUUCGUACCAGUUUGCCUGAUGGCUUGUCCUGUUUUAAUGACUCGGGGGAUAGUUUGGGUGUUGGCAGCAGCAAAAGUUGCAGAAGCUCUGGCAGCAAUGGAUGGGAAGGAGACGGUCAUCACUGGUCCUCAAGCAUGCAAGAAUCAAGAACCACACACCUGAUGAUUCGCGCUGUACGGGCUAUCUCUGCUUCGGAUCAAGCUAAAUCGCAGUGUUUCCAACAAAGCAAUCAGGGUUCUGAAAGCAACAUGUAUGUUACCAGCUUCUUCAGCCAAUCUAAUCAUUUUGGCUUCCUCUCCAUUUACUGAGUCGGACACGAUUUCUUAUCAGGAAAUCAGAGAUCUAUGAUUGCCUUAUUAACAGCAUGAGAAUUUAC